CUCCUACGGGAGGCAGCAGUGAGGAAUAUUGGUCAAUGGACGAGAGUCUGAACCAGCCAAGUAGCGUGCAGGAUGACGGCCCUAUGGGUUGUAAACUGCUUUUAUAAGGGAAUAAAGUGAGUCUCGUGAGACUUUUUGCAUGUACCUUAUGAAUAAGGACCGGCUAAUUCCGUGCCAGCAGCCGCGGUAAUACGGAAGGUCCGGGCGUUAUCCGGAUUUAUUGGGUUUAAAGGGAGCGUAGGCCGGAGAUUAAGCGUGUUGUGAAAUGUAGACGCUCAACGUCUGCACUGCAGCGCGAACUGGUUUCCUUGAGUACGCACAAAGUGGGCGGAAUUCGUGGUGUAGCGGUGAAAUGCUUAGAUAUCACGAAGAACUCCGAUUGCGAAGGCAGCUCACUGGAGCGCAACUGACGCUGAAGCUCGAAAGUGCGGGUAUCGAACAGGAUUAGAUACCCUGGUAGUCCGCACGGUAAACGAUGGAUGCCCGCUGUUGGUCUGAAUAGGUCAGCGGCCAAGCGAAAGCAUUAAGCAUCCCACCUGGGGAGUACGCCGGCAACGGUGAAACUCAAAGGAAUUGACGGGGGCCCGCACAAGCGGAGGAACAUGUGGUUUAAUUCGAUGAUACGCGAGGAACCUUACCCGGGCUUAAAUUGCAACCGAAUAUGGCGGAAACGCUAUAGCUAGCAAUAGCGGUUGUGAAGGUGCUGCAUGGUUGUCGUCAGCUCGUGCCGUGAGGUGUCGGCUUAAGUGCCAUAACGAGCGCAACCCUUGCCGAUAGUUACUAACAGGUUAUGCUGAGGACUCUGUCGGGACUGCCAUCGUAAGAUGUGAGGAAGGUGGGGAUGACGUCAAAUCAGCACGGCCCUUACGUCCGGGGCUACACACGUGUUACAAUGGGGGGUACAGAGGGCUGCUACCACGCAAGUGGAUGCCAAUCCCAAAAACCUCUCUCAGUUCGGAUUGAAGUCUGCAACCCGACUUCAUGAAGCUGGAUUCGCUAGUAAUCGCGCAUCAGCCACGGCGCGGUGAAUACGUUCCCGGGCCUUGUACACACCGCA
rnacentral:rRNA from 1 species